rnacentral:rRNA from 1 species
AGACCCGAAACCCGGUGAUCUAGCCAUGGGCAGGUUGAAGGUUGGGUAACACUAACUGGAGGACCGAACCGACUAAUGUUGAAAAAUUAGCGGAUGACCUGUGGCUGGGGGUGAAAGGCCAAUCAAACCGGGAGAUAGCUGGUUCUCCCCGAAAGCUAUUUAGGUAGCGCCUCGUGAAUUCAUCUCCGGGGGUAGAGCACUGUUUCGGCUAGGGGGCCAUCCCGGCUUACCAACCCGAUGCAAACUGCGAAUACCGGAGAAUGUUAUCACGGGAGACACACGGCGGGUGCUAACGUCCGUCGUGAAGAGGGAAACAACCCAGACCGCCAGCUAAGGUCCCAAAGUCAUGGUUAAGUGGGAAACGAUGUGGGAAGGCCCAGACAGCCAGGAUGUUGGCUUAGAAGCAGCCAUCAUUUAAAGAAAGCGUAAUAGCUCACUGGUCGAGUCGGCCUGCGCGGAAGAUGUAACGGGGCUAAACCAUGCACCGAAGCUGCGGCAGCGACACUCAGGUGUUGUUGGGUAGGGGAGCGUUCUGUAAGCCUGUGAAGGUGUGUCGUGAGGCAUGCUGGAGGUAUCAGAAGUGCGAAUGCUGACAUAAGUAACGAUAAAGCGGGUGAAAAGCCCGCUCGCCGGAAGACCAAGGGUUCCUGUCCAACGUUAAUCGGGGCAGGGUGAGUCGACCCCUAAGGCGAGGCCGAAAGGCGUAGUCGAUGGGAAACGGGUUAAUAUUCCCGUACUUGGUGUUACUGCGAAGGGGGGACGGAGAAGGCUAUGUUGGCCGGGCGACGGUUGUCCCGGUUUAAGCGUGUAGGUGUGUGUUCCAGGUAAAUCCGGUUCACUUUAACACUGAGGCGUGAUGACGAGGCACUACGGUGCUGAAGCAACAAAUGCCCUGCUUCCAGGAAAAGCCUCUAAGCAUCAGGUAACAUCAAAUCGUACCCCAAACCGACACAGGUGGUCAGGUAGAGAAUACCAAGGCGCUUGAGAGAACUCGGGUGAAGGAACUAGGCAAAAUGGUGCCGUAACUUCGGGAGAAGGCACGCUGACACGUAGGUGAAGUGAUUUACUCAUGGAGCUGAAGUCAGUCGAAGAUACCAGCUGGCUGCAACUGUUUAUUAAAAACACAGCACUGUGCAAACACGAAAGUGGACGUAUACGGUGUGACGCCUGCCCGGUGCCGGAAGGUUAAUUGAUGGGGUCAGCGCAAGCGAAGCUCCUGAUCGAAGCCCCGGUAAACGGCGGCCGUAACUAUAACGGUCCUAAGGUAGCGAAAUUCCUUGUCGGGUAAGUUCCGACCUGCACGAAUGGCGUAAUGAUGGCCAGGCUGUCUCCACCCGAGACUCAGUGAAAUUGAACUCGCUGUGAAGAUGCAGUGUACCCGCGGCAAGACGGAAAGACCCCGUGAACCUUUACUAUAGCUUGACACUGAACAUUGAGCCUUGAUGUGUAGGAUAGGUGGGAGGCUUUGAAGCGUGGACGCCAGUCUGCGUGGAGCCGACCUUGAAAUACCACCCUUUAAUGUUUGAUGUUCUAACGUGGACCCGUGAUCCGGGUUGCGGACAGUGUCUGGUGGGUAGUUUGACUGGGGCGGUCUCCUCCUAAAGAGUAACGGAGGAGCACGAAGGUUGGCUAAUCCUGGUCGGACAUCAGGAGGUUAGUGCAAUGGCAUAAGCCAGCUUGACUGCGAGCGUGACGGCGCGAGCAGGUGCGAAAGCAGGUCAUAGUGAUCCGGUGGUUCUGAAUGGAAGGGCCAUCGCUCAACGGAUAAAAGGUACUCCGGGGAUAACAGGCUGAUACCGCCCAAGAGUUCAUAUCGACGGCGGUGUUUGGCACCUCGAUGUCGGCUCAUCACAUCCUGGGGCUGAAGUAGGUCCCAAGGGUAUGGCUGUUCGCCAUUUAAAGUGGUACGCGAGCUGGGUUUAGAACGUCGUGAGACAGUUCGGUCCCUAUCUGCCGUGGGCGCUGGAGAACUGAGGGGGGCUGCUCCUAGUACGAGAGGACCGGAGUGGACGCAUCACUGGUGUUCGGGUUGUCAUGCCAAUGGCACUGCCCGGUAGCUAAAUGCGGAAGAGAUAAGUGCUGAAAGCAUCUAAGCACGAAACUUGCCCCGAGAUGAGUUCUCCCUG